GAUGAAGAACGCAGCGAAAUGCGAUAAGUAAUGUGAAUUGCAGAAUUCAGUGAAUCAUCGAAUCUUUGAACGCACAUUGCGCCCCCUGGUAUUCCGGGGGGCAUGCCUGUCCGAGCGUCAUUACAACCCUCAAGCUCAGUUUGGUAUUGGGCCCCGCCGACCCGGCGGGCCCUAAAGUCAGUGGCGGUGCCGUCCGGCUCCGAGCGUAGUAAUUCUUCUCGCUCUGGAGGUCCGGUCGUGUGCUCGCCAGCAACCCCCAAUUUUUUUCAGGUUGACCUCGGAUCAGGUAGGGAUACCCGCUGAACUUAAGCAUAUCAAUAAGCGGAGGA
rnacentral:misc_RNA from 1 species